rnacentral:rRNA from 1 species
GAAAAGAAUAACAAGGAUUCCCCUAGUAACUGCGAGUGAAGCGGGAAAAGCUCAAAUUUAAAAUCUGGCGGUCUCCGGCCGUCCGAGUUGUAAUCUAGAGAAGUGUUAUCCGCGCUGGACCGUGUACAAGUCUCCUGGAAUGGAGCGUCAUAGAGGGUGAGAAUCCCGUCUUUGACACGGACUGCCAGGGCUUUGUGAUGCGCUCUCAAAGAGUCGAGUUGUUUGGGAAUGCAGCUCAAAAUGGGUGGUAAAUUCCAUCUAAAGCUAAAUAUUGGCGAGAGACCGAUAGCGAACAAGUACCGUGAGGGAAAGAUGAAAAGAACUUUGGAAAGAGAGUUAAACAGUACGUGAAAUUGCUGAAAGGGAAACGCUUGAAGUCAGUCGCGUUGGCCGGGGAUCAACCUUGCUUUGCUGGGCGUACUUUCCGGUUUACGGGUCAGCAUCAAUUUUGACCGUUGGAUAAAGUCUAGGGGAAUGUGGCAUCUUCGGAUGUGUUAUAGCCCUUGGUCGCAUACAACGGUUGGGAUUGAGGAACUCAGCACGCCGCAAGGCCGGGUACUUGUACCACGUUCGUGCUUAGGAUGCUGGCAUAAUGGCUUUAAUCGACCCGUCUUGAAACACGGACCAAGGAGUCUAACAUGCCCUGCGAGUGUUUGGGUGGAAAACUCGGACGCGUAAUGAAAGUGAAAGUUGAGAUCCCUGUCGGGGGAGCAUCGACGCCCGGACCAGACCUUUUGUGACGGAUCCGCGGUAGAGCAUGUAUGUUGGGACCCGAAAGAUGGUGAACUAUGCCUGAAUAGGGUGAAGCCAGAGGAAACUCUGGUGGAGGCUCGUAGCGAUUCUGACGUGCAAAUCGAUCGUCAAAUUUGGGUAUAGGGGCGAAAGACUAAUCGAACCAUCUAGUAGCUGAUUCCUGCCGAAGUUUCCCUUCAGGGAA